AACGAGGACAACCUUUACUAUAUAAGGGAUAAAUCCUAUAUCAGGAUAAUCUUAUAUCAGUUUGAUAAGAACUGUUGGGUAUAAAAUACCCCCCCAGCUGAAGUUCGUGAUAGGAGUGACUCUCCAGAGAUUCUACCGACUUCCGACCUUUGGCGACAUCUUUUCGAACCUCUCCUGUGGUCGAGCCUCCGCAAUAUUUCCAUGUUCUGCCAACGGAUAAACCCCCACCAGCAUCGACCGGAUUCUUCACG
rnacentral:lncRNA from 1 species